rnacentral:lncRNA from 1 species
GUAACUUCCUAAAACCGCAUAGAUCACAUCAGGAAUGGCCUCAGAUCAUGAAUUCAUCUCAACAGCAUCGUCUCAAGAACGGUCCUCUUCCUGUUGAUCCGCAGGCCUCUGUCCCAACGGAGCGGCCAUCAGCCAGGAGGGAAAUCCCAGCAGGCUGUAGGCAGCCAGCGUCUUGGCAUGCAUGCCCAAGGACAGCGGCCUGUCAGGACUCUGAGGGCUCUAGCUAGCAAGGAGAGGCGUGAGAAGGCAGACAAUGAGGCCUUGGCUAGAAUUCUCUGGGUGUAUUUUCAGUUUAACCAGCCAUCAGGAGUCACUGGCAGUGCAGAUGUGCGCUGCUGUGGAUGGAGGAAGAAACCUGUUGUGUGUCUACUGCUCUGCAGAAGCCUUGCCCAGCGGUGGUUAUAUCGGUGGGCUGCGGGGCCUGGAGAAUUCAGGGCAGUGGGAGGCUUCGGGUUUGUGGGAGGGAGGGGAAACACUUGGGAUUGGCCAUUACCAGGCAAGCAUCCAGCUAUUUACCAAACACCUUCUGACCUAGGUCCUUUCCUGCAUUUCCCACUGGAGCUUGAUCUCUGGUUCCAGGUGAACUUCAAGUCACAGGGACACGUGGUUACAACUUUCUUGGAAGGAGUGCAGUUUCUUUGGGAGAUGGAUGUGUGUGGGAGGGGGUGGAGGGUCGUGGGGGAAGGUUUGUGUGCCUGUGUGUGCUGCAGCUGCUGUGGUUGCUGGUGGUGGCGGUGGUGAUGGAUGGAUGAAUAGAUGAGUGGGUGGAUGAAUAAUGAGUAGAUGGAAGGAGGAGGUCUGGUCAGAGCAGAGGUCAGAGUCCUAAGGCCAUCCUGUAGAAGAUGGUCUGAAGUCUUUGAGCUCCCAGAGAAGCUUUUGGGAGUCCAGAUGCUUAAGUGUGCACAGAGGGUUGUCUCCCCCUGGGAAGGGAUGGAUCCCUGUUCUCUGCCCAGAAGGCUGGGGAUGGGCUUAGUUCCUAGCCCCGAGGGUGGCCUGUGUAUCUGAAGGGCCUGACCACACCUGAGCCCUCCCCAUCCCCUCACCGUGGUGUUACCCCCAGCCCUCCCCGCCCGUACCCCACCACCAACUCAUUCAUCUUGGGCUCUCCCUCCCAAGAGCUUUAUCUUGAACACUGGUUCCAAGUCAGGAGAAACCAUCCUUAAUGGAGAUGUCACACGUCCUGGGCAAAUGGAGCAGAGGCUAGGUGACCUCUGUGCCCUGUUGUGUAUAGGGCCGGGCCAUACCUGACUCCCUCGGACCUCUAUGUCCACCUCAAUCGGUCUUCCUAGUCCAGUGGCUCUCAAACAACUUCCUCAUCUCGUGGAGACCACCGACAGUAAAAGGAUCUAGUCUCUAUUUCCUCAAUGUGACGUUGCCACUGUUGAGAUGGGUUGUGCACAUGUCCCUGUUUUCCGUUGUCUGGUGGUGGCCCCGGUGAAAGGGUCCUUCCACCCACAGGAGGGGUGGCACUGUUGCCCUGGGCCCUUGAGCACUGUUUCCCAGCCAGAGGUACCCAAUUUUAAGAAAGAGGUCACAGGUACUUUGUAAAGAGCUUCUAUGUAAACACGCCUGAAGCAUUGUGGUAUACCCGUGACUGUGUGAAUGAUCAUCAGGAAGCAUUUUCCCAAAGUUCUGCUGUGCUUAAAUAGGCCUAAAAUGAGUUGCCUGGUGUCAAGACCAGGGAGGUGUGAACCAAGGCCAGCUCCUGAGUCCUGUUGAAGCAGAUUCCUCUAUUGCCUGGCAGGGCCCCUGGUGCUUGCAGAGAUUCCCCCAACACAACAUAGCCCCACCCCACACCCCUCAACCCCAGUCUCAAGCCUUCCACUACUCCACCACUCCACCCACCAUCCCACCUCUAUGGACCCAGUCAACUCUGUCUUUACAGUCUGUCUAAGGCCAGCUCGGGACACCACAGGGUUAAAGGAGGAAGGCUGAGUGUGGAAUUGGCUGGGAUGGAGGGGUGUGGGCCCUACUUUCCACUUUUCCCUGCGGGAUAAACUUUCAUUUAUACGGGGAGGGGGAGGGGCAGAGGGAGAGGGAGGGGAGUGGGGGAAGCAUGUGCAUUCCCUCUGACCAGCUGAGGGUUCUCUUAACCCUGGAAAAGGGAAAGAAAGAGCAAAGGAGAGAGGGAGAAAUCAUACACACACACACACACACACACACACACACACACACACACACACAAGGCACACACACAGGCAAACACACAGGCAAACACACAGGCAGACAGACACACACGC